AAAAAAAGAAGAAAAAAAGA
rnacentral:sRNA from 1 species